UAGAGCUUAAAAUUUUUUUUUCCUGCAGAUUUAAUCUCAUACAAGGUACUUCACCAUUACCAGAAUUGGAACUUCUUCCACUCAACGUUUAAGGAUGAAAAGCUCCACACUCCUGCAAGAGAAACCCAUCUUCAAUCCAGACAUACAUGAAAACAGUACGGAGAGAAAGUGUUUCAGGCACUCAGACCAUACAUCAUUUAGUCACCUGACCCCUUAAUUCCUUCAGAAUGCUUCUUUCACUUUUACCUCACUCAGUUAAUAUGAAAUACCCUGCUCAAGCUUUCUGUUUUUAAAAACUUGGCUGUGUCAGGGCUC
rnacentral:lncRNA from 1 species